AGCUUUGCGCAGUGGCAGUAUCAUAGCCAAUGGGGUUUAUCCGAGGCACAAUUAUUGCUAAUUGAAACAAAUAGGGAGCAUUUUAAAAGGAGAAGCCCCAGUAUGCAAACACCUUUCAAUGUUGCUUGCCUAACAGUUCUAACUG
ensembl:snRNA U4 U4 spliceosomal RNA